rnacentral:rRNA from 1 species
GAUGAACGCUGGCGGCGUGCCUAAUACAUGCAAGUCGAGCGAACGGACGAGAAGCUUGCUUCUCUGAUGUUAGCGGCGGACGGGUGAGUAACACGUGGAUAACCUACCUAUAAGACUGGGAUAACUUCGGGAAACCGGAGCUAAUACCGGAUGAUAUUUUGAACCGCAUGGUUCAAAAGUGAAAGACGGUCUUGCUGUCACUUAUAGAUGGAUCAGCGCUGCAUUAGCUAGUUGGUAAGGUAACGGCUUACCAAGGCAACGAUGCAUAGCCGACCUGAGAGGGUGAUCGGCCACACUGGAACUGAGACACGGUCCAGACUCCUACGGGAGGCAGCAGUAGGGAAUCUUCCGCAAUGGGCGAAAGUCUGACGGAGCAACGCCGCGUGAGUGAUGAAGGUCUUCGGAUCGUAAAACUCUGUUAUUAGGGAAGAACAUAUGUGUAAGUAACUGUGCACAUCUUGACGGUACCUAAUCAGAAAGCCACGGCUAACUACGUG